rnacentral:rRNA from 1 species
ACGGAAGGCAGCAGUGGGGAAUAUUGGGCAAUGGGCGCAAGCCUGACCCAGCAACGCCGCGUGAAGGAAGAAGGCUUUCGGGUUGUAAACUUCUUUUACCAGGGACGAAGGACGUGACGGUACCUGGAGAAAAAGCCACGGCUAACUACGUGCCAGCAGCCGCGGUAAUACGUAGGUGGCAAGCGUUGUCCGGAUUUACUGGGUGUAAAGGGCGUGUAGGCGGAGCUGCAAGUCAGAUGUGAAAUCCCGGGGCUCACCCCCGGAACUGCAUUUGAACCUGUAGCCCUUGAAUAUCGGAGAGGCAAGCGGAAUUCCUAGUGUAGCGGUGAAAUGCGUAGAUAUUAGGAGGAACACCAGUGGCGAAGGCGGCUUGCUGGACGACAACUGACGCUGAGGCGCGAAAGCGUGGGG